rnacentral:rRNA from 1 species
GGAGGAUCAUUAUCGUAGGGCUUCGGCCCUGUCGAGAUAGAACCCUUGCCUUUUUGAGUACCUUUCGUUUCCUCGGCAGGCUCGCCUGCCAAUGGGGACCACAAAAAACACUUUGCAGUACCUGUAACAGUCUGAACAAACAAAGCAAAAAUUAAAACUUUCAACAACGGAUCUCUUGGUUCUGGCAUCGAUGAAGAACGCAGCGAAAUGCGAUAAGUAGUGUGAAUUGCAGAAUUCAGUGAAUCAUCGAAUCUUUGAACGCACAUUGCGCCCUUUGGUAUUCCUUAGGGCAUGCCUGUUCGAGCGUCAUUUAAACCUUCAAGCUAAGCUUGGUGUUGGGUGACUGUCCGCUUCACUGCGGACUCGCCUCAAAAUUAUUGGCGGCCGGUACAUUGGCUUCGAGCGCAGCAGAAACGCGAACUCGGGCCCGUCGUAUUGGCUCCCAGAAGCUAUCUUCACAAUUUUGACCUCGGAUCAGGUAGGGAUACCCGCUGAACUUAAGCAUAUCAAUAAGCGGAGGA